rnacentral:rRNA from 1 species
AAGACGGUCUUGCUGUCACUUAUAGAUGGAUCCGCGCUGCAUUAGCUAGUUGGUAAGGUAACGGCUUACCAAGGCAACGAUGCAUAGCCGACCUGAGAGGGUGAUCGGCCACACUGGAACUGAGACACGGUCCAGACUCCUACGGGAGGCAGCAGUAGGGAAUCUUCCGCAAUGGGCGAAAGCCUGACGGAGCAACGCCGCGUGAGUGAUGAAGGUCUUCGGAUCGUAA